rnacentral:lncRNA from 1 species
CAGGUUCUGGGUUAUAGUCGUGAGCAAGAGAGACAAAAUUCCCGGCCCUCCUGGGGACAGGCAGACAACAGACCCAAACAGGAAGCACAUAAUAGGUGCGAAGGUGGUAAGUGCUACGGAGGAAAACAGGUCCGGGAAGGGCCAGGGCCCAGGGCAGUGCGCUGGAUUGUAAAUAAGGUGCCGGGGAAGGUGGCCCUGGGAAAGAGACGUCUGAGUCAAGUUCUGAAGCUGGGGAGAGGGUGAACCUCAGGGUGGGCGGGUGGCUGGGUGGGAUGGGUUAAGGAUUUUAGGCAGAGGGGACAGCAGACUCAGAGGUCCUUUACCCUUUCAACUACGACAGUAAAAAUAGAGGGAGGAUAUGAUCUCAGAAUAAAGGCCAGGCCUUCUCAAGGGAGCAACUGCGGUGUUACCUGCCUCCGCAGCUAUGUACCUAUCCAUCUGUACAGCGAUGCAGAUAUAUUCACUCAGUCUAUACGCUCUCUGUUUAGCCUCUGUGCUGGUGGGCACGUGGGAGCCUGGGUUUCAAUGGUCUCCUCAGGACCGGCCUCUGGUCACAGCCCACCAGGACCCUGAGGUGCUCCUGGAGGUCAAGGGUGCGUCCUGCUCAUUUGCAUCUCUGGGUCCCGGCCUACACACUGCACAAGGGCCUUGGGUUGUACUGUGUCCUCCGUCUGGGACGGUCUCCUCAGUGGCCUCAUGGGCUGACCCUAGGGCUGUCCUUCAGUGUCGCGGAGCACAGGGAACAAUGGCCCUCAAGUGCCUAGGCCUGAAUUUGGAUGCUGGCUCUGCUACUUGCUGGAUGGGUGACCUCUUAUUCUCAGAGCUUCAAGUGUCUCAUCUGUGAGUUGGAACCAACUUCACGGGUCGAGGCAAGGAUUCAGCAAGGAAAUGGAUAUCAAACACAAAGGAUGCCUAAAAAAUGUGCCACUUUGCUGUGCGCUCAGUAAAUAAAGCUUUUCUUAUUCCUUUGACUAAUGUCCCC